GGGGGGACCACCCUCCAACCCUAAAUACUACCCAGUGACCGAUAGCGUAUAGUACUGUGAAGGAAAGGUGAAAAGCACCCCGGGAGGGGAGUGAAAAAGAACCUGAAACCCUGUGCCUACAAGCACCUAGAGCACGUCAAUGUGUGAUAGGGUACUUUUUGUAGAACGGUCCGGCGAGCGAUUGUAUGCAGCAAGGUUAAGGACUUAAGGUCUGGAGCCGAAGCGAAAGCGAGUUUGAAAAGGGCGUUAAGUUGCAUAUAAUGGGCCCGAAACCGGGUGACCUACCCAUGGUCAGGUUGAAGUGGAAGUAAAAUUCCAUGGAGGACCGAACCGACCUCCGUUGAAAAGGCGGCGGAUGAACUGUGGGUAGCGGAGAAAUUCCAAUCGAACCCGGAGAUAGCUGGUUCUCCCCGAAAUAGUUUUAGGACUAGCCUCAAGUUAGAUACCUGGAGGUAAAGCACUGAAUAGCCUAGCGGCCGAGAGGUUAGCGAAGCUUAUCAAACUCAGAAUGCCAGAGUAUUGAUGCUUGGGAGUCAGACAGUGUCAGAUAAAUGUCAUUGUCAAAAGGGAAACAGCCCAGAUCUACAGCUAAGGUCCCAAAGUCAGGUUAAGUGGAAAACGAUGUGAAGAUACGCAGACAACCAGGAUGUUGGCUCAGAAGCAGCCACUCAUUCAAAGAGUGCGUAAUAGCUCACUGGUCGAGCGUCUUUGCGCGGAGAAUUUAACGGGGCUAAACCUGACACCGAAGCUUAGGCAAUACAGCAAUGUAUUGGGUAGGGGAGCGUUGUAUACGCGGUGAAACAGUAGCGCAAGCGGCUGUGGAGUGUAUAGAAGUGAGAAUGCCGGAAUGAGUAGCGCGAAUGCAGUGAGAAUCUGCAUGGCCGAAAGCCUCAGGUUUCUGGAGGAAGGUUCGUCCGCUCCAGGUUAGUCGGGAGCUAAGGUGAGGCCUAACGGCGUAGCCGAUGCACAGACGGUAGAGAUUCCGUCACCACCAAAAGAGUUAAACACAGGGACACAUUUGAAGUCUCGGAGCCGGGUGUUGGUUCCGGUAGCGAUCGAGGGAAAUUAGUACCGAAGUCCGGGAUGGAAGAUGGCGAGAAAAGCUGUGUGUAUUUCUGCGGUGCCCGUACCGCAAACCGACACAGGUAGGUAGGAAGAAGAUUCUAAGGCCAACGGGAGAAGGGUUGUUAAGGAACUCGGCAAAUUGACCCCGUAACUUCGGGAGAAGGGGUGCUCCAGAGAUGGAGCCGCAGAGAAUCGGCCCAAGCAACUGUUUACCAAAAACACAGGUUUGUGCUAAAUCGAAAGAUGACGUAUACGAGCUGACGCCUGCCCGGUGCUGGAAGGUUAAGAGGAGAUGUGCAAGCAUUGAAUCGAAGCCCCAGUGAACGGCGGCCGUAACUAUAACGGUCCUAAGGUAGCGAAAUUCCUUGUCAGGUAAGUUCUGACCCGCAUGAAAGGCGUAAUGAUUUGGGCACUGUCUCAACAGCCCGCCCGGCGAAAUUGUAGUACCGGUGAAGAUGCCGGUUACCCGCGACAAGACGGAAAGACCCCAUGGAGCUUUACUGUAGCCUAAUAUUGGGUUUCGAUGUUGCAUGCACAGGAUAGAUGGGACACUGGGAAGCAAGUGCUUUGGCGCUUGUGGAGUGGCCGUUGGGAUACCAUCCUUGCGAUAUUGGAAUUCUAACCUGCGCCUUUGAAUCAAGGCGGGGGACAUUGUUAGGUGGGCAGUUUGACUGGGGCGGUCGCCUCCUAAAGAGUAACGGAGGCGUUCAAAGGUUCGCUCAGCUUGAACGGAAAUCAAGCAAAAGAGUGCAAACGCAGAAGCGAGCCUAACUGCGAGACUGACGGGUCGAGCAGUAACGAAAGUUGGAGUUAGUGAUCCGGUGGUAUGUGAGUGGAAAUGCCAUCGCUCAACGGAUAAAAGUUACCCUGGGGAUAACAGGCUGAUCUCCCCCAAGAGUCCACAUCGACGGGGAGGUUUGGCACCUCGAUGUCGGCUCAU
rnacentral:rRNA from 1 species